UCCUUAUCCACCCUCCAAUUCCUGCCUGGGGUAGUAUUCAACUGUGUUACCUCCCCGGACAAAAGCCACAGUAAUCUGCUCUCUGGUCUAAGGCUUUUUCUCAUAUUUCUGAAAGACUGAAGUGACCUACUUGGAAUCCUAAGACCUUCCUUAUCCACCCUCCAAUUCCUGCCUGGGGUAGUAUUCAACUGUGUUACCUCCCCGGACAAAAGCCACAGUAAUCUGCUCUCUGGUCUAAGGCUUUUUCUCAUAUUUCUGAAAGACUGAAGUGACCUACUUGGAAUCCUAAGACCUUCCUUAUCCACCCUCCAAUUCCUGCCUGGGGUAGUAUUCAACUGUGUUACCUCCCCGGACAAAAGCCACAGUAAUCUGCUCUCUGGUCUAAGGCUUUUUCUCAUAUUUCUGAAAGACUGAAGUGACCUACUUGGAAUCCUAAGACCUUCCUUAUCCACCCUCCAAUUCCUGCCUGGGGUAGUAUUCAACUGUGUUACCUCCCCGGACAAAAGCCACAGUAAUCUGCUCUCUGGUCUAAGGCUUUUUCUCAUAUUUCUGAAAGACUGAAGUGACCUACUUGGAAUCCUAAGACCUUCCUUAUCCACCCUCCAAUUCCUGCCUGGGGUAGUAUUCA